rnacentral:lncRNA from 1 species
CCCAUAGGCAGUUGGAGAUGAGCAGUGAGCAUUGGUUUGGUUUGCUCUGCCUCACUAUUCUUCAAUAACAACAGACCCAUUGUUAUUGGAGACUGAUGACGUCAGAAGUUUUGGCCAGCUGUAAGUUCUCACACAUAGCCUUUGAUUUCAAAGAAGAAGAAUAAAAGGAUAAUCUGACAGAUCCAAGCCUCUUUGGAGAUAAUGGCUGACUCCUGGUUUGGAGUAAAGCCAAUGUAAGGAAUCCAUCAUUCAUUGACACCUGGCACACAGCAAGUACUAUGGGUAACAACAAACAUGAGGAGAAUAAGCACACAGAUGUGUAUGUUUAUCAGUUAUACUCUCAGCGACAAGCAAUGAGUGUUCUGAAGUGGAGCACUCCAGCUGGGCACUGCUCCUAACUGCGCUACCCCAAGAAAACGCACUGAGAGAAAACAGUAACAUACAGAGCGGA